UGCUACUCAGCUGUACAGUACGGUACUGUGCUGUGGUGUGCUAUACCCUACUGUACUGGUUAAACAUCUGGAAUAUCUUCCUUUGUACUAAAAUGUGUGACACAUUUUUUUCCUGAAUCUGUAAUCGUCUAGCUUCUAACUUCUGGUUGACUGGAACUCUUGUACCCCUACAGGUUCAGGAGGAGAGUGUCAGUGCAGAACUGUGUGUCUCUCUCUGUCCCUGCUUCCUCUCGCUGUCUCUAUCCCUGCAGGUUGAGGAGGGGAGUGUCAGUGCAGAACUGUGUGUCUCUCUCUGUCCCUGCUUCCUCUCGCUGUCUCUAUUCCUGCAGGUUGAGGAGGGGAGUGUCAGUGCAGGACUGUGUGUCUCUCUCUGUCCCUGCUUCCUCUCGCUGUCUCUAUGUAUCCCUGCAGGGUCAGGAGGAGAGUCAGUACAGGACUGUGUCUCUCUGUCCCUGCUUCUACCCAGUAGAGACAUGGACCCCAACCUGGUGUCACUGAGACAGCAGUUCUUGUUGAAGGUGCUGAGUGGCUGGGUGCAGUCUGUCCCUCAUGAUGACUCAGGACCAGGUCUGGCCCGCACUGGCUGUGGAGCUGGCCCCCAUGCUGCUGCUCAGUGCUGAUGUAAUGAGGCGCCACCUAGUGUGUGAGCUGUACAACUACGGCUGGACCUGCUUGCUGAAGAGGCAAGAGUCACAGAGCACCCCCUGAACAAACACUGGACCAUCAGAGACUCCCUGCUUUCUUCUCUCAGGAGAUGCUGCAGGUUGAGGAUCAGGAGGUCCUGGCCUCUCAGCUGCUCAUCCUGACAGGUCAGAGACUGGCCUUCAUCCUUCUGCACAUCCAAACCAAGGAGGGCAUGGAGCUGCUGGCCAGGACGCCCCCCACUUUGUGCACCUGGCUCAAAGCAGUGCCAGUGAACUGCAAUCCAAAUCGGAAGAUGAAAAUACAGAAUUGGAGCCACAAGAUACCCAAAGAACAACAGGGAACCCUACAUAGAGAAUACCUCGUGAUUCCAAUAUUGCAGCUAUUCCCCCAUAGCUAGACAAACUUCCUGAGUCAGAUCAUGUACUCUCUCCAUUGUAGUAUUUUCAGUUGUUUUUUGCACUGUGGAGGACUGGGGCUCAUUGACCUGUAGGGGGCCUUCUUCCUGAAGGCCACGCUGGUGAGCAGUGAGGACUGGAACCAGCCGUCCAGACAGGAAGAGAUAAUGUGUCAAUAUUACACAGAGACAGACUGGCACAGCUACUGUGAGCAGUCCUUUCCAGAUACAUAUAUAUGGUCUAGUGACAGUCCAUAUGUGAUUUAUUCUCUAAAUAUACCAAGUUGCUUCAUGCUUGCAUUCGGAAAGCACACUUACCGUGAGCAGUAACACUAAAGUGUUGGUUAGUUGUGAAGGAAAUUAGAUUAUUUAAUUAGAUAAUUUGCAUUAUUUAGGGUGCCAGACUGUCAGGGAACAAAACACUGAUCUUUGAUCUCCAGGUGCCACAAUUACAGCAAACAGAUAUGGAAUUGUUGCAAUCAGUGUGAUAUGUAGUUAAACAUUAUCCAACACAAGCACAGGGAAUUACAGCCCGCAUGUCAGGAUCACAGGUUUAUUGCCCCCAAUUCUCCUAUACUCUUGAGGUCAGGGCAGAUAUACUGUGACACAGUGCACAAGCCACUCUCAGACAACCAAAAACAGCAGAACAUUCCAGUAUUUAUUUUGCCAUUAGCGUUGUCUCUUGCACAGCAGACAACCAACUGAUAAAAUUAUAA